GACGAACGCUGGCGGCGUGCUUAACACAUGCAAGUCGAACGGAAAGGCCCUGCUUUUGUGGGGUGCUCGAGUGGUGAACGGGUGAGUAACACGUGAGUAACCUGCCCUUGACUUUGGGAUAACUUCAGGAAACUGGGGCUAAUACCGGAUAGGAGCUCCUGCUGCAUGGUGGGGGUUGGAAAGUUUCGGCGGUUGGGGAUGGACUCGCGGCUUAUCAGCUUGUUGGUGGGGUAGUGGCUUACCAAGGCUUUGACGGGUAGCCGGCCUGAGAGGGUGACCGGCCACAUUGGGACUGAGAUACGGCCCAGACUCCUACGGGAGGCAGCAGUGGGGAAUAUUGCACAAUGGGCGGAAGCCUGAUGCAGCAACGCCGCGUGCGGGAUGACGGCCUUCGGGUUGUAAACCGCUUUCGCCUGUGACGAAGCGUGAGUGACGGUAAUGGGUAAAGAAGCACCGGCUAACUACGAG
rnacentral:rRNA from 1 species